GUUUAUAGUAACUAGUAACUAAUGGUGACCACCGUUAUAUACUAACUAAUAAGCCAAGAGGCUAUCUUCACAUCCUAGGAUGUGACCGUUAUUAGUAACUCAGUUCCUUACUAAGGAAGUUAACGGCCGGACAGUGUUGCACACGCAGUUAUAUGGGUAAUCAGGAGUAUUUUCUUGGCGAGGUCACCGGGUAGAUGACCUCUUAUAGGUCGGUAAUGGCCGCCAUUUUUGAUCUGACUCGGACAGUUUUUACUAGUAUUCAGGAUGAAAAUAAACACCAAGGCUGCUGCCACGAGAUGUUUUUAAUACUGUUAACGGAGUAUUAUUAUAGCUUAGUUAAAGUACAUGUACUUUCAUGAGACCAUCGACUGAUGCGAAACAACGACGGGCAGAUUGCCUUUCGACUUUGUGGAUGGAUGUUUGUUUGACCCGAUCCUUCGUCUUUUCGCCAACAAAUCACGUCCAACUUUGAUAAGGCAUGUUAUAUAGCUCAACAGACCACCCGGUAUAUUUGAAUGAUAUGCCGCACACCAGGAGUUGAUUCGCCCCUCCACAAUCGAGGUUCAGCAGCCCUGAAGAAAACCCGCCCAGCCACCUGGAUACCAGGUGCCAGACGUCAACAUACAGCUGAACUGUGGAUACCAGAAAGCAGACCACACUGGGCCACCUCAAAGUCCUGGCUAGCUAUAUCUGUAUCUGUAUCUGUAUAGCCGGUAUAACCGCCUUUCGGCAUAACACACCAUGUAGGAACUGAGCUUUGAGAAAACAAUGGCAAUGAAAAUUUGUGGACACAAAUGCAAUUUAUAGUACUGUCACAGGUGUGAAUUAUUGUCUUAUGACUACUGUAUGUGAUCACAUAUUAUUUCCCAAGAACUACUGAUACUUGUAACCUUAAGCCAGCAUUUUCAUUGUCAGUUUUUGUAUGAAUAUGAGCAGAUUAAGAAGUUCUUCAGUAAUUCAUACGUACAUGUGUUGAGCGUGCCUUCUCAUAGUUAUUGUUAUUAUAUUCAAUUAUAGAAACAUGUUUCGUUCCACCGAGAUAGAUAACAUAACUACAAAAAUUAUAUAACAUUUUGAAUUAAGAUGAACUAAUGUUUAUUCCAUCCAUAAUUGAUAAUGGUAGCUAUUUGUGCAAACUUCUCUGAUUGAAAAGUGCCUCAGGUUCAUGAGUUUUCUCAGAGAACACUACAUUCCCUACUGCAUGCAUGUUUUGUGGACUCAAUGCGUGGCUUGUGCCACAGAAAUUUGCCCUUCUGUACAUCACUGACCCCUACGCUGUGAAAAAAAUCUGGUGAGAACCCUGUAUUCUACUUGGUCUCCAUUAAACAUAUGGAAAAACCAUAUGAAACAAUAGGUUUGAGGAGAAUGGUGAACAUUGUAACAAUGCUUUGAACAUGCAUGUACUUGUACCAAUGAGGGAAAUUUUACUGCAUUACAUGUGUGCAUGAAGGAUUUCAAAGCUUGAAUUGAAAAAUCACUUUGCAGUUUAUUCCCCUAAUGUGAAAAAAAUUGAUUGAAAAUCACUUGUAGCCCAGGUGCUUAGUGGUCAUUGUGUGAAUUAUGUUGGUAUCAGAUUAACCAUUCAGUGAAGAAGUUCCUAAUCUU